GCGCAGCAGGCGAGAAUACUUUACAAUGUGCGAAAGCACGAUAAGGGAACUCUGAGUGCCUCCUAAGGAGGCUGUUCAGGUGUCUAAAAAGCACCUGGAGUAAGGGCUGGGUAAGACCGGUGCCAGCCGCCGCGGUAACACCGGCAGCCCAGGUGGUAGCCACUUUUAUUGGGUCUAAAGCGUCCGUAGCCGGUUGAGUAAGUUCCUUGGGAAAUUUGGCUGCUCAACAGUCAAGCUUCCAGGGAAUACUGCUCGACUUGGGGACUGGGAGAGGUCAGAGGUACUCCAGGGGUAGGGGUGAAAUCCAUUAAUCCCUGGGGGACCACCGGUAGCGAAGGCGUCUGACCAGACCAGGUCCGACGGUGAGGGACGAAGGCUAGGGGCGCGAACCGGAUUAGAUA
rnacentral:rRNA from 1 species